rnacentral:rRNA from 1 species
GACGAACGCUGGCGGCGUGCCUAAUACAUGCAAGUAGGACGCAGUUGCGAACGGGUGAGUAACGCGUAGGUAACUGCCUAUUAGAGGGGGAUAACUAUUGGAAACGAUAGCUAAUACCGCAUACUAGUAGAUGGACCUGCGUUGUAUUAGCUAGUAGGUAGGGGAAUGGCCUACCUAGGCGACGAGACAUAGCCGCCCUGAGAGGGUGAUCGGACAAACGGGGACUGAGAAAAGGGCCCGACUCCUACGGGAGGCAGCAGUAGGGGAUCUUGGGCAAUGGGGGGCAACCUGACCGAGAAACGCCGCGUGAGUGAAGAAGGUUUUCGGAUCGUAAAGCGCUGUUGUGAAGGAAGCGGUACUUAACCAGAAAGGGACGGCUAACUACGUGCCAGCAGCCGCGGUAAUAC